CUCAAUAUACCUGGCGAAUUGCCAAUACGAAGCUAAAGUGACCAGGUUAAAAUGUAAAUAUGUUAAAAGAGUAUUUUAUAGAAUUUAAAUAGUUUCAUUGUUAUUGAUAUCUGUAUUAAUAUAGGGAGGUGACCAUUCUACAUUGAUCCAGUGCCUUUUUAUGGGAUUCGAAACUGUGACUGUGAGAUGUAUGAGAGUUUGACUUCUAGGCGGGCAAUUCUACUUUCACUUUAAACGGAUGGCAGGUGCCUGAGUGUAUCUCGACCCAUUUCCAGGCUAGCAUCAGAUGUCAUGAUGGACCUUUAAAAUCUUUCACAUGUGUACUUUCAAGAACCAUAUACAUUAUUUUUGAAAAUUGGUUGCCAUGGUAAUAAAAUCUGAAAAUUAAAACAUGGGCUUCUGAA